UGAGGAAUAUUGCACAAUGGACGCAAGUCUGAUGCAGCAACGCCGCGUGGAGGAUGAAGGCCUUUGGGUCGUAAACUCCUUUUUUCAGGGAAGAGUGAGGACGGUACCUGAAGAAUAAGUCACGGCUAACUACGUGCCAGCAGCCGCGGUAAUACGUAGGUGGCGAGCGUUAUCCGGAAUUACUGGGCGUAAAGCGCACGCAGGCGGUCUUUUAAGUUUGACGUGAAAGCUCCCGGCUUAACUGGGAGAGGUCGUUGAAGACUGGAAGACUUGAGGCAAUGAGAGGGGUGUAGAAUUCCCGGUGUAGUGGUGGAAUGCGUAGAUAUCGGGGGGAAUACCAGUGGCGAAAGCGGCACCCUAGCAUUAGCCUGACGCUCAUGUGCGAAAGCGUGGGGAGCGAACGGG
rnacentral:rRNA from 1 species